UUUUAAUUUGUGCAACAUACUCACACAUUUGCAUUUGACAAUAUUGAACUACAUUUUAACAGUUCGACAAAUAGUUACAUUUUGUUGGUAUUUGUGAGCGACAAUCUAGCGUUGAGUGUAGAAAAAAUCGCCGAUUGCCGUCGAAGGAAAACAGUCGAGUUAAGCUGAAAUCAUAUUUACAAAACAGCAAUUCACAUCAAAAAAUGACAACUGCGAUCGACCCAGAACUGCGCACCAAAAUCGAUGCCGCUUGCCGGAUGGAGGAGGAAUUCACCAAA
rnacentral:lncRNA from 1 species